rnacentral:piRNA from 1 species
UGGGAAAUUGAAGGCCUUCCUGGGCUGAAC